AUACAAGCUACAAAGAGCGUACGGUGAAUGCCUUGGCACCAGCAGGCGAUGAAGGACGCGGCCAACUGCGAUAAGGUUCGGGGAGCGGUAGCACGCUUUGAUCCGGACAUUUCCGAAUGGGGUAACCCUAUACGAUUAAUCUCGUAUAAUCCUCCACUGAAUCCAUAGGUGGUUGAUGCGAUACCCGCUGAAGUGAAACAUCUUAGUAAGCGGAGGAAAAGAAAGUGAAACGAUUCCGUCAGUAGUGGCGAGCGAAAGCGGAUCAGCCCAAACCAGGGGGCUUGCCCCCUGGGGUUGUAGGGCCACGAUGUGGUAGUGCAGCGGUUAGGUUAAAAGAAUGGAAAAUCUUUCCACAGAGGGUGAGAGACCCGUGACCUAAAACCAAAACACACCUAGUGGUACCCUGAGUAAUGCGGUGCACGUGAAACCCCGCAUGAAUCCACGCCGACCACGGCGUAAGGCUAAAUACUAGCUGGUGACCGAUAGCGAACAAGUACCGCGAGGGAAAGGCGAAAAGAACCCCGCAAGGGGAGUGAAAUAGAACCUGCAACCGUACGCUUACAAGGUGUCAAAGCCCGCAAGGGUGAUGGCGUGCCUUUUGCUUAAUGAGUCUGCGAGUUACUGUCUGUGGCAAGUCCAAGCAUCUGUGAUGCGAAGGCGAAGCGAAAGCGAGUCCGAAAUGGGCGCCCCUAGCCGCAGGCAGUAGACCCGAAGCGGAGGUGAUCUACUCAUGGUCAGGAUGAAGGUUACUUAACCGUAACUGAAGGUCCGAACUGGUGAAGGUUGAAAACUUCUCAGAUGAACUGUGAGUAGGAGCGAAAGACUAAUCAAACCCCGUGAUAGCUGGUUCUCUCCGAAAUAGCUUGAGGGCUAGCCUUGUGUACUGAUGGACGGAGGUAAAGCACUGAAUGGACUAUGGUCCCUAACGGGAUACUGAAUCCAAUCAAACUCUGAAUGCCGUCCAAUGCAACACAGGAGUCAGACAGUGGGGGAUAAGCUUCAUUGUCGAGAGGGAAACAACCCAGAUCGCCGGCUAAGGUGCCCAAAUACAGCUCAGUGGAAAGGAUGUCAGGUUUCUUUAACAGUGAGGAUGUUGGCUUAGAGGCAGCCAUCAUUUAAACAGUGCGUAAUAGCUGACUCAUCGAGAAACCCGGCGCCGAAAAUGAUUGGCGAUAAGCUGUAUACCGAAGCCGCGGAUACCAGAAGACCUAGGUCUUCUGGCAUGGUAGGAGAGCGUUCCUGUUACUGCGAAGCGGGAGGGAAACCACCCGUGGAGUGACCGGAAGUGAGGAUGCAGACAUGAGUAGCGAUAAGACAGGUGAAAUCCCUGUCCGCCGUAAACCCAAGGGUUCCUGGGCAAGGUUCGUCCCCCCAGGGUGAGUCGGGAUCUAAGGUGAGGCCGAAGGGCGUAGCCGAUGACCAGCAGGUUCAAUAUUCCUGCACCACCGACAUUUAACCCGGAGUGACACAAGCAUCGACAACGUCGGCCGAUUGAACGUGGCCGUUUCGCAAGAUCCAGGAGGGUGGCAACACGCUCUGAAGCGUUGAACAUGAUUGUCGAGAAAAGCUCCGGUGCAUACUAAGGUGCCCGUACCGUAAACCGACACAGGUGGGUGGGUAGAAUAUACCAAGGCGCGUGAGUUAAACUUCUUGAAGGAACUCGGCAAGUUAGCCCCGUAACUUCGGAAGAAGGGGCGCCGCGCAAGCGGCCUCAGUGAAAGGAGUCAACCGACUGUUUAACAAAAACACAGCUCUCUGCUAAGUCGUUAAGACGACGUAUAGGGAGUGACACGUGACCAAUGCGGAAAGAUUAAGGCAAGGGGUCAGCCGCAAGGCAAAGCUCCAAACUUAAGUCCCCGUGAAUGUCGGCCGUAACUAUAACGGUCCUAAGGUAGCGAAAUUCCUUGUCGGGUAAGUUCCGACCUGCACGAAUCGUGUAACGAGUUGACUGCUGUCUCCAAGGAGUGCUCAGCGAAGUUGUAGUGGCGGUGAAGAUGCCGCCUACCCGCAGCAGGACGGAAAGACCCCGUGCACCUUUACUGUAGGCUGUUACUGUGUUUUCGUUCGGGAUACUUAGCGUAAGUGGGAGACGUCGAAACCUGGAUUUCGGUUCAGGCCGAGUCGCCAAUGAAACACCACCUUUUCUUAAUGGAAACUCUAACUCUAAGCCGUGAAACCGGAUAGAGAACAAUGGCAGCUGGUCAGUUUGACUGGGGCGGUUUCCUCCCAAAACGUAACGGAGGAGUUCAAAGGUUCCCUCAGCUUGGUUGGUAAUCAAGCGUCGAGCAUAUUGGUAGAAGGGAGCUUAACUGUGAGACACACACGUCGAACAGAUACGAAAGUAGGACAAAAUGAUCCGGUGGUAGAAUGUGGAAUUGCCAUCGCUCAACGGACAAAAGGUACGCCGGGGAUAACAGGCUUAUGAGACCCAAGAGUUCAUAUCGACGGUCUCGUUUGGCACCUCGAUGUCGGCUCAUCGCAUCCUGGGGCUGGAGAAGGUCCCAAGGGUCCGGCUGUUCGCCGGUUAAAGCGGUACGCGAGCUGGGUUCAGAACGUCGUGAGACAGUUCGGUCCUUAUCCGCUGUGGGCGCAGGAAAUUUGAGGGGUUCACACCUUAGUACGAGAGGACCGGGUGUGACGAACCGCUGGUGUUCCGGUUGUGUCGUCAGACGCAGCGCCGGGUAGCUAUGUUCGGAAAGGAUAAGCGCUGAAAGCAUCUAAGCGCCAAGCCUAUCCCAAGAUGAGAUUUCCCCAUCAAGACCGUGGAAGACCACCACGUUGAUAGGUCGCAUGUGUACGCAUGGCAACAUGUUCAGCAAAGCGAUACUAAUUAUCUGAUCGGCUUGAAUCACUCAGUUU
rnacentral:rRNA from 1 species